rnacentral:lncRNA from 1 species
AAACUUUGAGUCUAAAUUGAUCAUAUUGAAAUCAUAUACAACUUUGAUUUUGGAGGAUUUUCCAUUUGAAUCAUGCAUCAUGAAAACAUAAGGGCUUGAUUAGGCUUACUUUUGGUGAAAUGUUUCAAAGGUGACUUAAACAUGUUUUGUACUUGGAUCUUCCAGGCCAGUUUUCAUUAAUUUCCAAAUGCCAAAUGAAUUUUU